rnacentral:lncRNA from 1 species
AGAGACUAGGACUUGGCAGGGCUGUGAAGUGAGCAGAGGAAGGGCGAGUAUGAACAAGCAGGGAAUGCUGGACUCCUACUAGGCUGUCUAUCUAGCUAAGAUGAUUAUGAUUCAAGGAGGAAGUACAAAAUGGUAUUAAGGCUCUCUUCCUCCACCCUUAAAAAUGUGGGUGAAGAUAAGCUACAUUUUCCCAGAAUCUGCUCAAAACAAGACAAAAGCAAUGUACUGAGCCAGGUGAGGAAGAAAGGCAGUGCACCCCACAGACAAGACUGCCCUGGUUGUACGGUGCUACAACAUGAUCUCAGUUGCUGUUAAAUAAGUUUCGCAAGAAACUGAAGAAUGGAAAGACAAGAGAUGUGCAGCUGUGUUAUCAUGGAUUUCCAGUGAACAAGGGCCACAAAAAUCCAUCUAUUUUCAUCAUCCCCAGAGCACCAGGACUACAACAAUAAGAACAGCUCUAUGGAAAUGAUGAGGAACAAGUUUCAGAGAACAGAAGGAAUUUGUCUUGGGCUGCACAGUCACUAAGGAGAGAGCAGGCACCCAAACUGUGCCAUUCCCUGUCCUCUUGGGAGCUAUACUCUUCUGUAUCCCUGCUUCUGUUCAACGUAUCUGGCUCAAGAGACAUUUACAAAGGAAGGAAACACUCGUUGUAUGAAAAACAAACAUGAUAUAAACCUGUUUCGUUAGCUUUCAAGACUACCCUACCCAGGGGUGGCUACCCUAAAGAGAAUAGCAAAGUUGAUAAGAGAAAGAAUGAUAAAACUAUCAGAUUUCUCCCUAUCACAUUUUUCAAAAUAUUUCACCACAUCUGAAGAGGUAUUUUUCAUUCAUUUUCUGUAAGAUAGUAGAAAUGAAAGUGGUCUAAAACGCUAAAUAAAAGGGAUAUUGUUUGUAUUUAUUACUUCUUGAAUGCAGUGUAUAUUUAGAACUCAGAACAAUGGUUGUAUUUAGCCUAUACACUCCUUUUAAGAAAUUCACCCCAUGUAUGUGGGCAGCCUUAGAUCCUAGAUUCAUCACAGCUUCUAUUUGUGAACCAUUAGUUUGUAUCCCUCUUUUGACAACCACCUUGGAAAAUAAUUUCUCUCUCAUGCAAACCUGUCCCACCUUAUUGAAGGCCCACUGUAGCCUUUACAACUUAAAACAGUUCUCUGUACUGAAGUAGUCAUGUUACUAACUGCACGAAUGACACUAGCAAGUUAAAACAACGUGAAUUCUUAAUGUAUGUCGGAUUUAAAAUUCUUUUGAUCCCCGAUUUGUUGUGCUCAGCAUUGUAGUCUGUGCAAAGCAAAGUUAUUAGCUGAGAAAAUUAAGAUGUUUGAGUAUUCUAUAUUUCUAUUCUUUGAUGUGUAUAAAAAUUAGAAUUGGAAUUACAAUUAACUCUGAAGUUACUAUCAGAGCAAAGUAAACAAAAUGUCAUUGAUAUGUAAACAAAUUCAAUGCCCUAAUCAAAAAAUGUAAAUAGAAUGGGAUUUGAAUUCACAUCAUAUUAAUUCUAAAGAGAAAGUAUGAUAGAAAGAACAUGAGCAUGGAAAUAGCAAAACAACACAGGUCAGGUAUGAGUUUUUGAAAAAUCCUGAUUUGAAAAUCCACUUGUUUCCUUAAUAAAG